rnacentral:rRNA from 1 species
UUAAGCGACUAAGCGUACACGGUGGAUGCCUAGGCAGUCAGAGGCGAUGAAGGGCGUGCUAAUCUGCGAAAAGCGUCGGUAAGGUGAUAUGAACCGUUACAACCGACGAUACCCGAAUGGGGAAACCCAGUGCAAUUCGUUGCACUAUUGCAUGGUGAAUACAUAGCCAUGCAAGGCGAACCGGGGGAACUGAAACAUCUAAGUACCCCGAGGAAAAGAAAUCAACCGAGAUUCCCCCAGUAGCGGCGAGCGAACGGGGAGGAGCCCAGAACCUGAAUCAGCGUAUGUGUUAGUGGAAGCGUCUGGAAAGUCGCACGGUACAGGGUGAUAGUCCCGUACACAAAAAUGCAUAUGUUGUGAGUUCGAUGAGUAGGGCGGGACACGUGACAUCCUGUCUGAAUAUGGGGGGACCAUCCUCCAAGGCUAAAUACUCCUGACUGACCGAUAGUGAACCAGUACCGUGAGGGAAAGGCGAAAAGAACCCCGGCGAGGGGAGUGAAAUAGAACCUGAAACCGUGUACGUACAAGCAGUGGGAGCACCUUCGUGGUGUGACUGCGUACCUUUUGUAUAAUGGGUCAGCGACUUAUAUUUUGUAGCAAGGUUAACCGAAUAGGGGAGCCGUAGGGAAACCGAGUCUUAACUGGGCGAAUAGUUGCAAGGUAUAGACCCGAAACCCGGUGAUCUAGCCAUGGGCAGGUUGAAGGUUGGGUAACACUAACUGGAGGACCGAACCGACUAAUGUUGAAAAAUUAGCGGAUGACUUGUGGCUGGGGGUGAAAGGCCAAUCAAACCGGGAGAUAGCUGGUUCUCCCCGAAAGCUAUUUAGGUAGCGCCUCGUGAACUCAUCUUCGGGGGUAGAGCACUGUUUCGGCUAGGGGGUCAUCCCGACUUACCAAACCGAUGCAAACUCCGAAUACCGAAGAAUGUUAUCACGGGAGACACACGGCGGGUGCUAACGUCCGUCGUGAAGAGGGAAACAACCCAGACCGCCAGCUAAGGUCCCAAAGUCAUGGUUAAGUGGGAAACGAUGUGGGAAGGCAUAGACAGCCAGGAUGUUGGCUUAGAAGCAGCCAUCAUUUAAAGAAAGCGUAAUAGCUCACUGGUCGAGUCGGCCUGCGCGGAAGAUGUAACGGGGCUAAACCAUGCACCGAAGCUGCGGCAGCGACGCUUAGGCGUUGUUGGGUAGGGGAGCGUUCUGUAAGCCGUUGAAGGUGACCUGUGAGGGUUGCUGGAGGUAUCAGAAGUGCGAAUGCUGACAUAAGUAACGAUAAUGCGGGUGAAAAACCCGCACGCCGGAAGACCAAGGGUUCCUGUCCAACGUUAAUCGGGGCAGGGUGAGUCGACCCCUAAGGCGAGGCUGAAAAGCGUAGUCGAUGGGAAACAGGUUAAUAUUCCUGUACUUGGUGUUACUGCGAAGGGGGGACGGAGAAGGCUAGGCUAGCCGGGCGACGGUUGUCCCGGUUUAAGCAUGUAGGCGGAGUGACUUGGUAAAUCCGGUUGCUUAUCAACGCUGAGGUGUGAUGACGAGUCACUACGGUGAUGAAGUAGUUGAUGCCAAGCUUCCAGGAAAAGCCUCUAAGCAUCAGGUAACAUUAAAUCGUACCCCAAACCGACACAGGUGGUCAGGUAGAGAAUACUCAGGCGCUUGAGAGAACUCGGGUGAAGGAACUAGGCAAAAUGGUGCCGUAACUUCGGGAGAAGGCACGCUGGCAUUAGGUAAAGGGACUUGCUCCCGGCGCCGAAGCCAGUCGCAGAUACCAGCUGGCUGCAACUGUUUAAUAAAAACACAGCACUGUGCAAACACGAAAGUGGACGUAUACGGUGUGACGCCUGCCCGGUGCUGGAAGGUUAAUUGAUGGGGUCAGCCGCAAGGCGAAGCUCUUGAUCGAAGCCCCAGUAAACGGCGGCCGUAACUAUAACGGUCCUAAGGUAGCGAAAUUCCUUGUCGGGUAAGUUCCGACCUGCACGAAUGGCGUAAUGAUGGCCAGGCUGUCUCCACCCGAGACUCAGUGAAAUUGAACUCGCUGUGAAGAUGCAGUGUACCCGCGGCAAGACGGAAAGACCCCGUGAACCUUUACUAUAGCUUGACACUGAACAUUGAGCCUUGAUGUGUAGGAUAGGUGGGAGGCAUUGAAGUGUGGACGCCAGUCUGCAUGGAGCCAACCUUGAAAUACCACCCUUUAAUGUUUGAUGUUCUAACUCGGCCCCAUAAUCUGGGGUGAGGACAGUGUCUGGUGGGUAGUUUGACUGGGGCGGUCUCCUCCCAAAGAGUAACGGAGGAGCACGAAGGUUAGCUAAUCACGGUCGGACAUCGUGAGGUUAGUGCAAAGGCAUAAGCUAGCUUGACUGCGAGAGUGACGGCUCGAGCAGGUACGAAAGUAGGUCUUAGUGAUCCGGUGGUUCUGAAUGGAAGGGCCAUCGCUCAACGGAUAAAAGGUACUCCGGGGAUAACAGGCUGAUACCGCCCAAGAGUUCAUAUCGACGGCGGUGUUUGGCACCUCGAUGUCGGCUCAUCACAUCCUGGGGCUGAAGUAGGUCCCAAGGGUAUGGCUGUUCGCCAUUUAAAGUGGUACGCGAGCUGGGUUUAGAACGUCGUGAGACAGUUCGGUCCCUAUCUGCCGUGGGCGUUGGAAGAUUGAGAGGGGCUGCUCCUAGUACGAGAGGACCGGAGUGGACGAAUCACUGGUGUUCGGGUUGUCAUGCCAAUGGCAUUGCCCGGUAGCUAAAUUCGGAAGAGAUAACCGCUGAAAGCAUCUAAGCGGGAAACUUGCCUCGAGAUGAGUCUUCCCUGGGGCUUUAAGCCCCCUGAAGGAACGUUAAAGACUAUGACGUUGAUAGGCUGGGUGUGUAAGUGCAGCGAUGCAUUGAGCUAACCAGUACUAAUGAUCCGUGAGGCUUAACCUU